AAAUUUGAAUGUAAAAUUUUGAAGAAGAAAGUUUGCGUUUUUUCAUAAAGAGUCCCUCGGAAUCGAUCUGUUAUGGGCUAGAAUUGUCCCCCAGACACGUUACUAACAAAAAAAACUAUUUUGGACGAGAAUUUGGUUCAAAUGUAC